rnacentral:lncRNA from 1 species
CCUCUCCCACUUGCAGAAGUAACUUGCCAAGGCCUGCAAAUUCAGUAAUAUUAGUGCAUACCUCUUAACUCCUGGGCACUGUCAACACCUAUACUGGCUAGGUAUUUUUAAAAUAUAAAUGAGUAGUUGCUCAAUGUUUUCCACCUUUUUUUUCAAUUGAAAACUAACCUUUAGUGAGAAAAAAAACUCUUCCCAUGAGAUCAAGGGGUAUAAAAACCACACUAGUUUUGGGGGAACAGGCAUACCUUUACAUAUAAAAGAUUACCAUCUAUCACCAUCUCAAAGUGUUAGCUCACGUUUCAUUAAAACAAGGUGUUGCAUAAGGCUUAAAUCAUUUCACUGGCCAGCAGAGAAGAAAAGCAAUAGGUGUAUACGUGAUCUAUCCAAACUACUUCUCAUUUGAGCUGUAUUAUACAAAAAUAAAACCUAACACCUUUGCUCAGUCAUAGAGCAGCCAAGGAAGACCACACAAUACCCAAGAAGUUGUUUUAUUGUGCUGCACUACUAUCAGACACAGAAGAGUCUUGUUAUACCUAGAUAAGUCUGUUAGCAGACAGAAGCAUAAUUAAGGACUGACACAUCUGAAGGCUGAUUAAUUACAAGCUUUUAGGAUCACCUGUAGUUCAAGGAAACCCAGUCCACCUCUCCUGAUUUCAAUUUGGAAGUGGCAACAGGAGAAAAAUUUGCAUUGAGGGUGCCAGGAAGAGAAAGGGAAGAAGAAUAGUAAAAUGAAGACCAAAGUAACAACGAGAGUAAUCUCAGAGCAAUGAUAAUGAAAAAAGUGGGGUUUUUUUUGUUUUGUUUUUUCUUUGUUUUGGGUUUUUUGUUUGUUUGUUUUUUAAAGAAAGGAAGAAAGAAAGAGAGAAAGAAAGAAAAGGCAGGAGGAGAGGAAGGGAAUCACUUUGGGAUUAUCGAGGCAGCACCUGAAGUUUUGUCCCUUCUCUGUUUUUUCUGGAAACUGCACAGAGAGCAAAUAGAUCUCCACAUCUAUCUGACAAGAUCACUUCACAGGGCUUCCUAGGCUGCAGUUUAACUAUGGAAGUCACUGGCCACCUCCCUGAGAACAGACUGAAGCCAAGACAUC